UACGUAGGGUGCGAGCGUUGUCCGGAAUUAUUGGGCGUAAAGAGCUCGUAGGCGGCUUGUCGCGUCGGCUGUGAAAACCCGGGGCUCAACCCCGGGCCUGCAGCCGAUACGGGCAGACUAGAGUUCGGCAGGGGAGACUGGAAUUCCUGGUGUAGCGGUGAAAUGCGCAGAUAUCGGGAGGAACACCAAUUGCGAAGGCAGCUCGCUGGGACGUCACUGACGCUGAGACGCGAAAGCGUGGGGAGCAAACAGG
rnacentral:rRNA from 1 species